GGAAAGAGGGCUAAAAUGUUUUCUGUUGAUCUACAACUGAAGGGGCCAUUUCAAGGAUCCAUAUUUAUCACCAGGAAGAUGGUGUUACUCUCAUAUGAGGGACCCUAGAAGAUGUUAUGUGUUGCAGAAAACCCUCUGCACAGCCAGCCCUUGGAGAAAAAAUGGAGAAUGUAUGUGUGGCAAUCUCAACCACCAAGAUUACCCAACCAGCAGGUCACAGUACUAAUAAACGGCAUGAAGCUAAUGGUUACCUCUCUGAGCUCCUCUUCUAACUGUAGAAGCCAAAGAACCUGUUGGGUCGAACUGUCCCCCUCGCUCACCCCUUUGUGACCUGGUGAAAUGAAACAUGAUUCACUCUUGGCCCUUACAGAUUUGAAGUGAGAUUUUCAGUUCAACUCUUGAGUACAGUUACCAACAUUGAGCAGACUUGUUCUUCAAACUCUGCUAUUCACAUAUCAAUGGAAAGUUCA